AUUGAACGCUGGCGGCAGGCCUAACACAUGCAAGUCGAGCGAGCGGCAGACGGGUGAGUAAUGUCUGGGAAACUGCCUGAUGGAGGGGGCUACCUACUGGAAACGGUAGCUAAUACCGCAUACAAUCAGAUGUGCCCAUAUGGGAUUAGCUGGUGGGUGGGGUAAUGGCUCACCUAGGCGACGAUCCCUAGCUGGUCUGAGAGGAUGACCAGCCACUCGGAAACUGGGACACGGUCCAGACUCGUACGGGAGGCAGCGUUGGGAAUUAUUGGACAAGGGGCGGAAGCCUGUAGCGGCCAGGCGGCGGAUAUGAGUAAGGCCUUCGGGUUGUAAAGUACUUUCAGCGGGGAGGCGUUACCCGCAGAAGAAGCACCGGCUAACUCCGUGCCAGCAGCCGCGGUAAUUC
rnacentral:rRNA from 1 species